GAUCCGUUAGCUCAGUUGGUAGAGCAUUUGACUUUUAAUCAAAGGGUCUGGAGUUCGAAUCUCCAACGGGUCACCA
rnacentral:tRNA from 5 species